GCUGGGUGUGGUGGCGUGCACCUGUAAUCCCAGCUACUUGGGAGGCUGAGGCUGGAGAAUCGCUUGAACCCAGGAGGCAGAGGCUGCAGUGAGCCGAGAUGGCACCACUGCACUGUUGCCUGGGUGACAGAGCAAGACUUGGUCUCAA
rnacentral:SRP_RNA from 1 species